AGCCAACUGAUGAGUCCCGAAUAGGACGAAACGUGAGUCUUGGAU
rnacentral:hammerhead_ribozyme from 1 species